rnacentral:rRNA from 1 species
CGUGUAGGCGGUCUUUUAAGUCUGAUGUGAAAGCCCCGGGCUCAACCCGGGAAGUGCAUUGGAAACUGGGAGACUUGAAUACGGGAGAGGGUAGUGGAAUUCCUAGUGUAGGAGUGAAAUCCGUAGAUAUUAGGAGGAACACCGGUGGCGAAGGCGGCUACCUGGACCGACAUUGACGCUGAGACGCGAAAGCGUGGGGAGCAAACAGGAUUAGAUACCCUGGUAGUCCACGCCGUAAACGAUGAGAACUAGGUGUUGCGGGUAUUGACCCCUGCAGUGCCGCAGCUAACGCAUUAAGUUCUCCGCCUGGGAAGUACGGUCGCAAGACUAAA